CGAGAGUGCAGUGACCGACUCUGUGGGUGCACUCCCGCAUCAGGUGCCAACUGGGGAAUUCAAGAACUGCCUGGAAUUUGGAGCAGGAUAAAAUUACAAUAGAAAAAGUUCGAAGUUGUCGAUGUCAACAAGACAAAUACCAAGGUUUUAUGCCGCUCAAGGAAGCUGGAUUAAUCGCCAAGAACUCCAAAGAAGUCAGUAUUCUAGACCAACGUGAUGAAAAGGUUCUCCACAGUUUGUGAAACUUUCCUUUUGAGUAAAUGAGUUAAAGCCGCUUUGAACAAUCGUGUUGUGCAGAACUGGUAUUCAGUAUUCACACAUUAUGAAACCUUUACGCUUUCGUUAUUUUAAUGUGGUAUGUUCAGCUUUGAAGUUUUCAUAUAAACCAUGUUUUAUAUUUAUGACACAUCCCCCCCCCCCC